AAGGAAUAUUGGUCAAUGGACGCAAGUCUGAACCAGCCAUGCCGCGUGAAGGAUGAAGGUCCUCUGGAUUGUAAACUUCUUUUAUCUGGGACGAAAACGGGAUUUUUAUCUCAAUUGACGGUACCAGAGGAAUAAGCACCGGCUAACUCCGUGCCAGCAGCCGCGGUAAUACGGAGGGUGCGAGCGUUAUCCGGAUUUACUGGGUUUAAAGGGUGCGUAGGUGGGCUUAUAAGUCAGUGGUGAAAUCUCCGAGCUUAACUUGGAAACUGCCGUUGAUACUAUAGGUCUUGAAUUAUCUGGAGGUAAGCGGAAUAUGUCAUGUAGCGGUGAAAUGCUUAGAUAUGACAUAGAACACCAAUUGCGAAGGCAGCUUACUACACAAUCAUUGACGCUGAGGCACGAAAGCGUGGGGAUCAAACA
rnacentral:rRNA from 1 species